rnacentral:lncRNA from 1 species
AUGGCUAGAUAUGGUGUAACACUAAUACUUGCAAUAUUAAUAAUUGAGAUGGUUAUUAUUUAUUCUGCCACUAGUGUUUCUAAAGAAAUUAUUUUUUAUCAACCUUGGAAUCAAAUGUAUUAUAUUGCAGAUAGCACUGCGCUCCUGAAGUGUAUUGAUGAUUGCAACAAACAACAUAUAAAUGGGACCAUGGGGAGUAUACGUUGCAUUAGAGAGUGCUAUAAGAAGCAUUAUAAAUUAUUCAAACGGAAAUAUUUGGUAAUAAAAAAAAAUU